rnacentral:lncRNA from 1 species
ACCAAUAUCGGACUGGCGUUUGUUCGCGCGACCAAUACAAUUUACAAUGACGCGGCCAACUCUCACGACCGCGUGACCAAUAUCGGUGCAGUGGUCGUUUAUACGAGCCGCCGAUGCAGAUGUGCGCAAGACACCGUCCCCGCUGUUCGGACGACAUCAACCCACCAGUGCGGUGCUCGCCUGUAUGAGCUGUCCAACAGACGCGUGCAAAACGCCGCCCCCACGGUCCGGUUUACGCCAACACGCCAGUGCUACGCUCACCUAUACGAGCCGUCCAAUAGACGUAUGCAAACCGCCCCUGCGGCCUGUCUUCUCCAACAACAUUG